CCUACGGGAGGCAGCAGUGGGGAAUAUUGCACAAUGGGGGAAACCCUGAUGCAGCGACGCCGCGUGAGUGAAGAAGUAAUUCGUUAUGUAAAGCACUAUCAGCAGGGAAGAAAAUGACGGUACCUGAGUAAGAAGCCCCUGCUAACUACGGGCCAGCAGCCGCGGUAAUACGUAGGGGGCAAGCGUGAUCCGGAUUUACUGGGUGUAAAGUGAGCGUAGACGGCAGUGCAAGUCUGGAGUGAAAGGCGGGGGCUCAACCCCCGAACUGCUCUGGAAACUGUACGGCUGGAGUGCAGGAGAGGUAGGUGGAAUUCCUGGUGUAGCGAUGAAAUGCGUAGAGAUUAGGAGGAACACCAGUGGCGAAGGCGGCCUACUGGACUAUAACUGACGUUGAGGCUCGAAAGCGUGGGGAGCAAACAGGAUUAGAUACCCGAGUAGUC
rnacentral:rRNA from 1 species